GAUGCCUUGGCAUUGAUAGGCGAUGAAGGACGCGUUUACCUGCGAAAAGCUCCGGCGAGCUGGAAUAAAGCUGCGACCCGGAGAUAUCCGAAUGGGGCAACCCAAUGGGACUAAUCUCCCAUUAUCUUUAGCUGAAUACAUAGGCUAUAGAAGCGAUACCUGCUGAACUGAAACAUCUUAGUAAGCAGAGGAAAAGAAAUCAAUUGAGAUUCCCUAAGUAGCGGCGAGCGAAACGGGAUGAGCCCAAACCAAAGUCUUUGACUUUGGGGUUGUAGGACCAGCCAAAAGAUUUGGAAAUUCUAGUCGAAUACUUCUGGAAAGUUGAGCGACACAGGGUGAUAGCCCCGUAGACGAAAGAAUGACCAAACAAGGCAGGCACCUGAGUAGGGCCGGACACGUGAAACCCGGUCUGAAUCUGGGGAGACCACUCUCCAAGGCUAAAUACUAAUUGAUGACCGAUAGUGAACCAGUACCGUGAGGGAAAGGUGAAAAGAACCCCGAUGAGGGGAGUGAAAUAGAACCUGAAACCAGCAGCUUACAAACGGUGUCGGGGGUCUGUGUUUUUUUUAAGGAAAUGGCUAACGGCGUGCCUUUUGCAUGAUGAGCCAGCGAGUUACUAUUAAAUGGCAAGGUUAAGGGACAACGUUCUGGAGCCGAAGCGAAAGCGAGUGUUAAAAGCGCGUAUAGUCAUUUGAUGUAGACACGAAACCGAGUGAUCUAUCCAUGACCAGGUUGAAGCAAGGGUAACACCUUGUGGAGGACCGAACUAGUUGCCGUUGAAAAGGCUUUGGAUGAGUUGUGGAUAGGGGUGAAAGGCCAAUCAAACUCGGAGAUAUCUUGUUCUCUUCGAAAUAACUUUCGGGUUAGCCUCGAACAUAAUUAUCUACAGGGGUAGAGCACUGAAUUCACGCGGGGGCCUACCGGCCUACCAAAGGAAAUCAAACUCCGAAUACUGUAGAUUCGUUCGGGAGAUAGACAGUGGGGGAUAAGCUUCAUUGUCAAAAGGGGAACAGCCCAGAUCGCCGAUUAAGGCCCCAAAUUCUAUGCUAAGUGAGUAAGGAAGUGGAGUUUCUAAAACAGUUGGAAUGUUGGCUUAGAGGCAGCCAUCAUUUAAAGAGUGCGUAACAGCUCACCAAUCGAGAAACUCUGCGCCGAUAAUAUCCGGGACUAAUAAGCAUAGAGCCGAAAUCGCGGGUUUAGCUUGUAAAAGCUAAGCGGUAGGAGAGCGUAGUAUGUGCAGCGAAGAUGUACCGUAAGGAGCAUUGGAGCGCAUACUAGUGAUAAUGCAUGGCAUGAGUAAACGAUAAAGGAGGUGAAAAUCCUCCUCGCCGAAAAUCCAAGGUUUCCAGGGUAAAGCUCGUCUUCCCUGGGUUAGCCGGUCCCUAAGCCGAGGCUGAAAAGCGUAGGCGAUGGCAAGCAGGUUAAAUAUUCCUGCGCCACCUAAAACUAUGAUGAUGAGUUGACGAAGUACGUUAAGCACGCGGACGAUUGGAAGUGUCCGUGGACAUAUGAGGCCGGCUAGUAGGCAAAUCCGCUAGCAUAAAGCCAGGUAUGGACCAAGGGGAGCCCUCGGGUGAACCGAUAGUGUAGCGCAACGCUUCCAAGAAAUAGACUCUAAUCGUUGAUGGUGACCGUACCAAAACCGACACAGGUGGAUGGGAAGAAUAUUCUCAGGCGCGCGAGAGAACUCUCGUUAAGGAACUCGGCAAAUUAUCCCCGUAACUUCGGGAGAAGGGGAGCCACGGGGUGUGACAUUCUUCGCGAAUGAAGCAUCAAGUGGCCGCAGAGAAAUGGCCCAGGCGACUGUUUAACAAAAACACAGCACUAUGCAAAGUCGUCUAAGACGAAGUAUAUGGUGUGA
rnacentral:rRNA from 1 species